UACGGAGGAUGCAAGCGUUAUCCGGAAUGAUUGGGCGUAAAGCGUCCGCAGGUGGCUGUGUAAGUCUGCUGUCAAAGAGCAAAGCUCAACUUUGUAAAGGCAGUGGAAACUACACGGCUAGAGUGCGUUCGGGGCAGAGGGAAUUCCUGGUGUAGCGGUGAAAUGCGUAGAGAUCAGGAAGAACACCUGUGGCGAAGGCGCUCUGCUAGGCCGCAACUGACACUGAGGGACGAAAGCUAGGGGAGCGAAUGGG
rnacentral:rRNA from 1 species